UUAGAUACCCUGGUAGUCCACGCCCUAAACGAUGGAUACUAGACGAGGGUGGCUUGCCCAUCCGUGUCGUAGCUAACGCAUUAAGUAUCCCGCCUGUGGAGUACGGCCGCAAGGUUAAAACAUAAAGAAAUUGACGGGUCCCCGCACAAGCAGCGGAGCAUGUGGUUUAAUUCGAUGCAACGCGAAGAACCUUACCAAGACUUGACAUUGCGUGAUCGCCUGUGAAAGCAGGCUUCCCUUCGGGGCACAAAAACAGAUGGUGCAUGGUCGUCGUCAGCUCGUGCCGUGAGGUGUUCGGUUAAGUCCGUCAACGAGCGCAACCCUUAUUUCCAGUUACCAGUAUUAAGUUAGGGACUCUGGAAAGACUGCCGUGGAUAACACGGAGGAAGGUGGGGGAUGAUGUCAGAUCAUCAUGCCUCUUACGUCUUGGGCUACACACGUGCUACAAUGGGCGCUACAAAGAGCUGCGGAGCCGUAAGGCCGAGCCAAUCUCAAAAACGUUCUCAUUCNGAUUUGUGGGGCUGCAACCCGCCCACAUGAGUUGGGAGUUGCUAGUAAUCCCGGAUCACACGCCGGGGUGAAUNGCGUUCCGGGGGAUUGUACACACCGCCCGUCAGCAUGGGAGGUUGGGGGUCUCUUNAAAUCNGGUCCGCCUACCCCCAAGGAAGGCGCCCGCCCUAGGUAAACCAUGACUGGGGUUAAAUCGUAACAAGUAACCCA
rnacentral:rRNA from 1 species